rnacentral:rRNA from 1 species
GAAUCUUCCACAAUGGACGAAAGUCUGAUGGAGCAAUGCCGCGUGAGCGAAGAAGGUUUUCGGAUCGUAAAGCUCUGUUGUAAGGGAAGAACACGUACGGGAGUAACUGCCCGUACCUUGACGGUACCUUAUUAGAAAGCCACGGCUAACUACGUGCCAGCAGCCGCGGUAAUACGUAGGUGGCCAGCGUUGUCCGGAAUUAUUGGGCGUAAAGCGCGCGCAGGCGGCCUGUUAAGUCGGAUGUGAAAGCCCCCGGCUCAACUGGGGAAGGUCAUUGGAAACUGAUAGGCUUGAGUACAGAAGAGGAAAGCGGAAUUCCACGUGUAGCUGUGAAAUGCGUAGAGAUGUGGAGGAACACCAGUGGCGAAGGCGGCUCACUGGCUCGAUACUGACGCUGAGGUGCGAAAGCGUGGGGAGCAAACA